GAGCUCAAUGACCAGAGCAUCUGCCUUGCAUGCAGAAUGCUUCAUGUUCAAUCCCUGCCAUCUUCA